rnacentral:rRNA from 1 species
ACGCUGGCGGCGUGCUUAACACAUGCAAGUCGAACGGAAAGGCCCUGCUUUUGUGGGGUGCUCGAGUGGCGAACGGGUGAGUAACACGUGAGUAACCUGCCCUUGACUUUGGGAUAACUUCAGGAAACUGGGGCUAAUACCGGAUAGGAGCUCCUGCUGCAUGGUGGGGGUUGGAAAGUUUCGGCGGUUGGGGAUGGACUCGCGGCUUAUCAGCUUGUUGGUGGGGUAGUGGCUUACCAAGGCUUUGACGGGUAGCCGGCCUGAGAGGGUGACCGGCCACAUUGGGACUGAGAUACGGCCCAGACUCCUACGGGAGGCAGCAGUGGGGAAUAUUGCACAAUGGGCGGAAGCCUGAUGCAGCAACGCCGCGUACGGGAUGACGGCCUUCGGGUUGUAAACCGCUUUCGCCUGUGACGAAGCGUGAGUGACGGUAAUGGGUAAAGAAGCACCGGCUAACUACGUGCCAGCAGCCGCGGUGAUACGUAGGGUGCGAGCGUUGUCCGGAUUUAUUGGGCGUAAAGGGCUCGUAGGUGGUUGAUCGCGUCGGAAGUGUAAUCUUGGGGCCUAACCCUGAGCGUGCUUUCGAUACGGGUUGACUUGAGGAAGGUAGGGGAGAAUGGAAUUCCUGGUGGAGCGGUGGAAUGCGCAGAUAUCAGGAGGAACACCAGUGGCGAAGGCGGUUCUCUGGGCCUUUCCUGACGCUGAGGAGCGAAAGCGUGGGGAGCGAACAGGCUUAGAUACCCUGGUAGUCCACGCUGUAAACGGUGGGUACUAGGUGUGGGGUCCAUUCCACGGGUUCCGUGCCGUAGCUAACGCUUUAAGUACCCCGCCUGGGGAGUACGGCCGCAAGGCUAAAACUCAAAGGAAUUGACGGGGCCCCGCACAAGCGGCGGAGCAUGCGGAUUAAUUCGAUGCAACGCGUAGAACCUU